rnacentral:misc_RNA from 1 species
CAGAGUUGCAAAACUCCCUAAACCAUUGUGAACGUUACCUUAACCGUUGCUUCGGCGGGCGGCCCGGGGUCCUGCCCGGGCGCCCCUCGGGCCCAUCGCGGGCGCCCGCCGGAGGUAACCAAACUAUUGCUAAUUUAUGGCCUCUCUGAGUCUUCUGUACUGAAUAAGUCA